UACAGAGGUGCCAAGCGUUAGGCGGAAUCACUGGGCUUAAAGCGCGUGUAGGCGGGUCGUUAAGUGUCCGAGUGAAAUCCCACGGCUCAACCAUGGAACUGCCGGGCAUACUGGCGAUCUUGAGGCAUUCAGGGGCGAGCGGAACAAAUGGUGGAGCGGUGAAAUGCGUAGAUAUCAUUUGGAACGCCAAUGGUGAAAACAGCUCGCUGGGAAUGACUGACGCUGAGACGCGAAAGCCAGGGGAGCGAACAGG
rnacentral:rRNA from 1 species